UCAACUGGAGGUAAAUCUCCCUCUUUGCUGAGUAGGUAAUGCCUUCUUGUGCAAGGAUUGCACAUGAUGAAUUUAAGGUAUAAGCCUCUUCUGUUCACACUCUUCCUUUCUUUGUUCACUUUUCUUUCCUUUCCUCCCUCCCUCCCUUCCUUCCUUAGGCAUUAUGGACAGGAGAUGGUGAAGAUGUUGCUCAAUCAUCAAAAAUUUAAAAUGCUUUUGGAACGAUCUCUUUCCACCAGUGACCUGGAAGAUAUUCUGACAAGAAUGAAGAAGGAAGGGAUGGAAAACCAGAAGGCUGAACGCCCAUCUGUCAAGGAGCUGGUGAAGAAGAGGAACGAUGGCUCCAAGAACCCCCAGGCCACAUUGUCUUCUAGCAAACAGUACUGAGCACUUUAUUCAGAUGUGACAAAGCACAUGACAAGCUGUACAUGUCUCUUCCUCAGGAAAAUCUUUAUGGCAGAGAUGGCCAGUGACACAGAUUGUUCUCUUUCCCUACAAAUGCUCUAUGAUAAAAAAAGUCUACUUCUGCAUUACACUGAACACAACUUCUUUGGAGGGGUUUUCACAACUGAGAGACAAAAAGACCCCAUUGGUUGCAGCUCAGACGAUCCAGUGCAGUGGCAAGGGCAGUGGUAUGGAGGCUAUGACAGGGCCAAGUUUCUGCUGCCUGACUUGGGACAAGGAAAUUCAACCAGGGCUUUUUUUUCAUCUGAGUGGAGUCUUUUCCACAUGGGUGUUUUGAUGAGAAGUCCCAGUCUAGAAGCAGGAUGCCAUUCCACAAAGAUGCAGUUCUCAUGCAUGUGGUUUGGCCUGGCUGAAUCAUGGUUUUCUUACCCUGAAACAGUAUCAAGUUUGAGUAGUAAGUAGCAAUGCAAUUCCUGAUCAACUUCAGGCAACAGGUGUCUCAAUGACACCUGUUGUCUUGAUAUUCCUGUCCUUCAUAUGAUUUGCUUGAUGGACAGCAUGUUUGGUUUAUUUCAUCCUGUGCUGCAAUCAGCAUUUAAGACAGGAAUUUGGUCCUUGCUGUCUCUUCAUGGCAGUUGCAGAGCUACUUGUACCUGUUCUCCUCUGAUCACAGAGGGGAUUUAUUUAGCUCUGUCACGCUCAGCAGUGGCAGGAAAGUGACCACAUGCCUCAGUAGCAUAGCUAGCAUCUUUCCAUGCUCAUGCAAGAGACAGGUUGAUCCAGGAGAAUUGUUCCCAGGGGGGUUGUUAAGCUGUGGAUCUAGUCUCUAGGGAAGCAAAUGAAAUGUGAGCAUAGUUCUGGGGUGUCUGGCUUCUGUUUUUAUCUCUGUGACUGAUUUUCUGAAUCCUUCACAUAUGACCCUGUUCAUCUGUUCAGGUGCACCUGAGCUAUUUUUGCAGAUUGUCAUGCCUGGUUGUAGAGACACUUCUCCAGAGUGAUGAGUUUCCUUAUUAUGAGACACAAACAUCCCAUAUGAGGAGCCACUUAAACUUGGAAGUAGUGUCUCUCUUUCUCCACAAAGCAAUGUGACCUGUGUGCCUUGGCAGCCAUCUGAAGAUAGAUCAGAUGCAUCUCAUCCUUGCUUUUCCUGAGUGAGCACUGGCGAGAAUGUUCCUUGCAGAUUGUCUCCCAAAAUGAUUGUCAUGAGGUCCACAUUGUUUUUCAGAGCCUCAUGACUUUCCAGCUUGAAAUCACAUCAUUAGAAAAGCUACUGAAGAUGUUUUGCUCACAAUUUACUGAAGGUAUUAUCACCAACAGGUCCUCAUUUGGUUUUAUUUUCCAGGGUGAAAUCUACCUCUGAUGGAUGCCUCCUACACCGUGCACAAGCCCAGGUCACGUUACCUCCGGUUGAGGAAGAAACGGAGCUGCUCCAGAAGCUUUACAAUCUCCUGGAGGCCAAGGGGUUUCAGACGCGCAUGGAAGGAGUGGCACUCCUCCAAGACUUGUGCAAAACUAGCCCCCAGCUCAUCUCCACUAACAUUGUCCAAAUUUUUGAAUAUUUUGUCCUGAGAAUAUCUGACAGCCACAAGAAAGUGAAGCAGAAGGCGCUGGACGUGCUGGCUGAAAUCACAGGCGUCCUGAAAGAUGCCUUGAACCCGGUGAUCAUUGAUUUGGUGGAAGGAAUAACGAAGAACCUGAACUCCAAGGACCCCAGGGUUCGUGCUGCAGCUGUGAAAGCGCUGGAAGAAUCCAUUGCUCAUUUAGAUAAAGUAUCACUGCUGAAAGAGUUCAGCUACCACUGGAAUCACCUGAGUGGCCAAGCUCUGCUGGAUGUCACGGAGUGUAUCACAGGUAUGGCCUCCCCUUCUAGGCCAAGAGGUCUUCCCAGGGAGUAUUUACAGGCAAUGCCUGUGAACAGACAGCAGAGUAGCUCCUCCAAACCAGGAGGUGCUGAGCUUGUCCCUCCAGCCCAGUGCCCAAGGCAGGUGUAUUUGGCAGGUUUCCCUGGCUGCUGCAGAGCUGUGCAGCAUCUGAGAUGGGGGCAGAGCUCGGCCUCGGGGCUGAGCUCCCACUGGGGCAUCUCAGAACCCAGCUCCAGGAAAGGGAGGGGCUCAAAAUACCCCAGCUGGCCCCUCUCUUGGAAGCUCAGGGACAUCUGUCAUCUUUUAGGGAAAAUGGUGGCAAAUGCUGUUUCAGGGGAUCAGUUUGUUUUGUCCUCACAGAACUCUUGUUUUUCUCUUGGAAAGCUUUGAGGCUGAACUGUGCAGAGCCUGGGGUCACAGCUUAGGUCAAAACUCAACAGACGUAUUAGAGGCAGGGAUUUAGUGCAAGGCAGCCUUUGGGGGCAGAGGGGCAGAAGCAGAGUGCUGAGGCUCCCUGCCUGUGCUGUCAAAGUGGCCCUGGACUGAGCAUUUCUGGGUGUGCAAACAGUGUCUGCCUGUGUCAGCACUGUCCCAAAUGUUACAAAUGCAGCUGAUAAUUGAUUCCUCAGAGGGGCUUGCUAUGUCAGCAAUAGCCAAGGAAUGGGAAAAUUAUAAUCCCAAUAUAUAGUAGAACAGACGAUUGACAGUCUUGCUAUAUCUGGGGCUAAAGCCACUGCUAAUUAGGCCAACAUCUUUGAAUGCAAGGUUUAAUACACUUUGUGUCUCCAUUAGGAAUUUCAAAAGGGCAUGUUCAGCGAUUGGGAAUGUCAAAGGCCCUUUAAAGAGCUUUGAAAAAAGUAGAUCUCCAGCAACAGGGAAUUUAGUUUUACAGAUCUUUUGAUCUCUUUUUCAAAUAAAAGAAUGAAACAUAAAUUAGGACUACUUUAGAAAAAGUAGAUGUUCUCUCUGAGAUUUAGUAGGAAGAGACAGCUGUUCCUUACCUUCAAUAGUCACCAAUAUCUUUAAUUGUAUUUAAACUCAAGUGAAUUCCCAUGUUAAAAUGGGUACCAUAACCCUUUUCCUGCUUAGCACAAUUGGGGUUUGGGUACUUUCAGGAGCUGUUUUAAUAUUGAUGACUGCCAGUGGAUUAAAAGCUUAGAGAAAAUAAAGUCUCUUCCACCACAGAAUAAUAAAUGGCUACUAGAUAACAUUUUGCCUGAUCAGAAAAUAAGAAUGGUCUCCAGAGCUUUUCAGGAUUUGAUCUUUCAGCCAAAUCUGCCAUGCAAGGAGCCUGUUGGUAGUAAAUUUUUGUCUGUGAUAUAGUUUGGUUCAGAAAAUGAGCAGAGAGCAGAUUUCAGAGACAAUAUGAGAAAACACUCGUGUUUUGGAUGAAUUUCAGUCCCCUGUGUAGCAUUUUGCUCUUUCUAUGCCCCUACGUCAGUGGACAUUAUAAGAAAAAAUGCUAUUAAGAUUGGGAGGGGAAAUGGCAUUAAAAUGUGGAGAUGCUCAAAUGCCACAGCAAUGGGGUCUAGCUAAUUCUCUAAGACGCCCUGAGGUUUGAAACAGCUGCUUGUUGGAAGCCCCAGAAGCAUUCUGCCAAAGACACCAGCUAGUCACUGAUGUUUCCAAUCCAACUGUCAAGCAGCAGCCAUCUCUGGUGGGCAGGAGUUUUGAGAUGUGUUCUAAUCCUGCCCUUUGCUGUGUGCCAUUGAGCAAAGGGAAGAGCCAGAUUAAACGUUUGGCACUUGACAUCAAAGUUAUGAAAAUGGAAUCAUCCCUUUUAUUAGAAAUCUCUCAAUUUUCUGUCCACGGUGCAUUUCCGAAUCUUCAGUGUGGGUUUAGACAACUUCUUAAUGGAAAUAAAAAGCAACUGGACAUUUCAUUCAUUGCUCAUGCAGAAAGAUAAUGUGAAAUAAUUUAGUAAAGGGACAAAGUCUGCCACAGGGACAAGGCUGUGGUUGGAGAAAUUAGUCCUGAGGGGUUGGUGGUUCUGUUUCCAGGAUGAUCAGCUGCUUUGCCCGUUUCUGGAUCAUGGGGCUCUGUGCUAUUUUGCUGAUCUUAGCCAGAAGGCUUCCAAUUAGCAAAUGCAGAGGUAGAUCCCUGUUUGCAUUGAGGCUGAUGGUUGAGAAGCUGUGUCUCUCUCCCGGCAGUGCUUGUGGAGUGGGUUUAUGCCAGGAGCCCUGAAGUGGUCCAGCACGACGCCCUGCUCGUGCUCUGGUCCUUCCUGGAGAACAAGGCGCUGCCGGUGCGAAGCGCCAAUGUCCGCACUGUGGCCACCAAGCUUGCCUCUGCCCUCUACAAGGUGAUGGGCACCAAGCUGAAGAGAUGUGCUGCCAGCCAGCCUCCACAUGUGCGGGAAAACCUCUCCAAAAUGUUGGGCUGGUGAAGGCAUGAUGUUCUCCAGAGAGAUGACAACGUGCUGAGUUGGACACCUCCAGAUCUGCCUUGUUAGCUGUGCCAAAAGAGACCAAAUGCUAAGGAAGGGUGUGCACCUGCCCCCUCUCUCUCCAUCGCCCUUCCUAGUCAUGGCAUGGGGGGCCUGAAGCAACUCCAGACUGAGGACAAGGUGAAGGCUGAUCAUGGCUCAGCCUCACACAGAGAUCGGACUGUUUACAGUCUUACCGAGAAGGUUCCUCUGGACAAUUCCCAUGGUGCCUUACCCACAAAGUCCUUGCCUGCUGUACAGAGAUCUCUUUUCUCCAAGUUCAGGAAGAAGCUGCUGCCUGUAUGAAGAUUGUUUGAAGAAUAGGAUUUACGUGUUAGGUUUCGUAGUUACAGAUGCAUAUAUGUUCUGAUCCUUAGAUGUAGUUUUGAAUAAAUGUGUUUUGAUUGUAUCUUUAAA